GAAUAGAGGAGCAAAUAAUAGGAUAGUAAGUACAUGUGAAAGGUAAGGGGACACCUGACGGUAUUUUAUGAAGGGAUUAUUUGCCGAAAGAGUAUGUUUGGCCUUGAACAUAUUCUUGGGGGUAGAGAGGAAUAUUUCUAUCACUGUCAUAAGUUUUUUUAUGAUGCGCUGUUU
rnacentral:ncRNA from 1 species